rnacentral:misc_RNA from 1 species
CCCGCCCAUCCAUUUAUUCCUCUUAAUAAAAAAGAAAAACCAAAAACCCUAAUUGUAGGCAAGUCAAAAGAAAACCUCAUUCUCUCUGCAUAUCCUCUGUACACUGCCCCUUCCUCGCCUUUUCUCCUUCCUCUGCGGCCGCCGGAUACAACCGCAUCAUGGCUGGGAAGCGAAAAACGACUUCCUCCUCUGGAACCGCAUCUUCCAAGAAGCCAAAAAGACUGGCCGCAGACGAGGAGGUGUUUCCGUUGAAUGGUGAAGAGGAGGAAGUGAAUCAGGUGGAUGAACAAGGAGCUAAGAUGAGUUCUCAUGCGAAACCUCAUUCUCAAAGGAACGAGAAUGGCCGUGGUAGAUCUGCUAAAAAUGCUGCUUCUGAAGAGGAAUCGACUAAAAAUGAGAAUGUUAAUGGUGAUGUUAGCGAUGAAGAUGUGCCUGAAGCUAGAUUUGUCAGCGCUCCUGUGCCUGAUGAAGAGGCUAGAACUCGGUGGCCUCAUCGCUAUGUGAAGAAGACAAAUAAACAAGCAACAGGCUCAAAGAGUUCAAAUACUAAGGAUGAUUCUGAAGAGAUCAUUCCAGCUCGGUGCCAUUACAUACAAGCAGAGGUUGAUGGACGCUUCAUCUACAAUCUUUAUGAUGAUGCUCAUGUCAAAGCUGAGGAUGGAGAGGACAGCUAUAUAUGCAAGAUUGUGGAGAUGUUUGAGGCUAUUGAUGGGAAAUUUUACUUCACAGCUCAAUGGUUCUACAGAGCUAAGGAUACUAGCAUCAAGCAUGCCUACGAUAUGGAUAAAAAACGUGUUUUCUUUUCAGAGAUUCGGGAUGACAAUCCAUUGGAUUGUCUUGUUGAAAAGCUGAAUAUUGUGAAGGUGGAUUUAGAGGGAAAAAAGGCAAAGAUCUCUUCUUGUGAUUAUUUCUGUGAUAUGCUCUACUUGCUUCCAUAUUCCACCUUUGUUAAAUUACCACCAGAGAACACAACUAUUAGCAAUGAAAGUUCAUCCACAUUAUCUAGUGAUGAUGAUAUGAAUGAAGUGAAGUCUAGCAAUGAUACUUUUCAUAAAUCAGAGGUUACAUUGUUGGAUUUGUAUUCUGGUUGUGGUGCUAUGUCAACAGGCCUGUGCCUUGGUGCCAAUUUGUCUGGUUUAAACCUUGUUACUAAAUGGGCUGUUGACUUGAACAAAUAUGCCUGUGAGAGUCUAAGAUUAAACCACCCUGAGACAGAGGUGAGAAAUGAAUCUGCAGAGGAUUUUUUGUUAUUGCUGAAAGAAUGGGAGAAACUCUGCAUUAGGUUUUUGCUUAUAACUAGCAGUGAUCCAGAAAAGCAACAGUCUUAUCCUUUUGAUUUGGAAGAAGAUGGAGAUGAUCAAGAUGAUGAUGAUGAAGAUGGGAAUGACGAUGAAGAGGCUUUUGAAGUAGCGAAGAUACUCCAAAUUUGCUAUGGUGACCCAAAGGAUAAAGGGGAGCGUGGAUUAUACUUUAAGGUUAGCUGGAAGAAUUAUGGGCCUGAAUAUAACACGUGGGAACCCAUUGAUGGCUUGGGUAAUUGUCAGAAGGCUAUAAAGGACUUCGUCACAAAUGGGUAUAAGUCGAGGAUUCUACCAUUGCCUGGUGAUGUAGAUGUGAUUUGUGGCGGGCCGCCAUGUCAAGGCAUUAGUGGAUUCAACCGUUUUAGAAAUAGAAAUAAUCCUUUGGAAGAUGAGAAAAACAAGCAACUCAUAGUUUUCAUGGAUGUUGUCAAGUAUUUGAAGCCAAAGUUCGUUUUAAUGGAGAAUGUUGUGGAUAUUCUUAAAUUUGCUGAUGGAUUUCUAGGGCGAUAUGCCAUGGGUCGACUUAUUGAGAUGAACUAUCAAACAAGAAUUGGCAUGUUGGCUGCUGGGGCAUAUGGCCUUCCUCAGUUUCGGAUGCGUGUUUUUCUUUGGGGUGCCCGUCCUACUGAGAAGUUGCCGCAAUACCCACUUCCAACACAUGAUGUCCUUGUCCGUGGAGUUGUUCCUGUUGAGUUUGAUAGUAAUGUUGUUGCCUAUGAUGAAGGCUGCGUUGCUCCGUUGGAAAAGAAACUUUUUCUGGAGGAUGCAAUAUCUGACCUCCCACCAGUUGAGAACAAUGAACAUCGUGAUGAAAUGCCUUAUGCCUCGGAUCCUAAAACAAAAUUUCAGCGGCAGAUUAGACUAAGAAAAGAUGAAUUGUUAGAUGCUUCAUUGAAGUCAAAGUCAUCACAAUGCUUGCUAUAUGAUCAUCGUCCACUUGAGCUGAAUAGUGAUGAUUAUCAACGUGUUUGCCGGAUACCAAAGAAAAAGGGAGCAAACUUUAGAGAUCUUCCAGGUGUUCGUGUGCGUCCUGAUAACAAAGUUGAAUGGGAUCCAGAUGUUGAGAGGGUUUAUCUGGAUUCAGGAAAGCCUUUGGUCCCCGAUUAUGCCAUGACUUUUGUGAAUGGGUCAUCAUCAAAGCCAUUUGCCCGUCUUUGGUGGGAUGAGACUGUGCCAACUGUUGUUACAAGGGCUGAACCUCACAAUCAGGCAAUUUUGCAUCCUGAACAAGAUCGAGUACUGACAAUUCGUGAAAAUGCAAGACUCCAAGGUUUUCCUGAUUACUAUAAACUUUGUGGACCCAUAAAAGAAAGAUAUAUCCAAGUUGGAAAUGCUGUUGCUGUUCCGGUUGCUAGGGCACUUGGUUAUGCGUUAGGCAUGGCAUUCCAGGGAUCUGCAAAUAGUGAACCUUUGUUCACAUUGCCAAAGAAAUUCCCAAAUAUUGUGGAACAAAUAUCUUCAGCAUCUUCAGAAGACGAUGCUUGAUUGUUGUAUUGGCCAACACAAAAUGUAACAUACAUUCCAUUUGGCUGAUGAUUAUUUAUCCCAUUGUUGUAAUUGUACCAUAUGAAACAUUCUUCAAUGAAUGCUCUUGUAUUGAAGAUUAGAAGUGAAAAAUCUUCAAAGUGUCAAGGUUCUUUAGUUUUACCAUAUCUUUAUUGUUU